ensembl:lncRNA
GUAACUUUCAGGCAGGGCCAGUAAGUUUCAAAAACUACUGGCCCUGUGGGCCAGUGCAAAUUUCUGGGCUAUGUCAACCCCUGCUUUAAGGCUUUGAAAAACAUUCUGGCUGUCAUUUCAUCAGCAGGAGUCAACAGGUGAAUAUCAAUAUGACAGUAAUUUAGGAGUGGCAGACUUGCAGAAACAAACUGCUUUUUAAUUAAUAGAUUUUUGAUUAAAAUAAACAUUUGUUACAACAAUGAGGCACAAUAACGGUAAAAGAGGCUUCAAUCAAAGUUUAUCAGGCUUUUAUAUAGAGACGGGUGAACAGAGUUUAGUUUCAAGUUUUCAACUUACUCUAAGAUGGUGCAGACAGAGCAGCAUACGCUGCAGCAGGUGGAGCACUGUCGGACACAGGAUGAACACGCCAGUCGAUCACACUGAGAACACGGCGUCCUGGGCUCACCUUUAGCAGCACUCGCCCUCGUUAGUCUCCCGUCGUGGCUAAUCAGCAUCUGUCCUCUCAGAAGAGUUUUGCUGCAUGCAGGUGAAUCCGUUUGUGCAGAGGGCUGCGGAGCUGCACUCUUCUCUUCCCCGGUCCAUAUUGUACUGAUCACAGCUUUGGCACCGUUGAAAAGCAAGUUCUUCGUUUUUUCUGUGUGAAACACAGACACAAACAGCCAAGCCGGGUCAUUACCUCAGGGUAAUCCUUGACCCGGUUUUAUCCCUCGACUGUCAUGUCGGGUCACUUGUUCGCUCUUGUUCUUGUCAUCUUAAAAAUUUUGCAAAAUUGAGUCCAAUUGAGUUGCGUUCUGAGAUGGAGAUGCUCAUCAACGCUUUUAUAUCAUCUCGUCUUGAUUACUGCAACUCCACCUUCACAUGCUCGAGCAAAAAAUCUUUAGAACGGCUCCAGGUUGUCCAGAACGCUGCUGUAAGGCUUUAACCAAACCAUUCCAAGUUUUCACACGUCACCCCGUUAUUAAUCCAGCUGCACUGGCUCCCCAUCCACUACCCAGUGCAUUUUAAAAUCCUGGUUUUAACAUACACAGCUCUUAAUAGCCAAGUACCGGUCUAUACAUAAAAGACCUUUUGCAGCUGUACACCCCAGCAGGUCCCUGAGGUCUGAGCCUUUGCAGCAGUGGCUCCAUCGAUGUGGAACUCCCUUCCUCUCAGCCUCAGAUCUGCAGACUCAGGGUUUUCUUUAAAAAGCAGCUAAAAUUGCUUUUUCUUAAUUAUUUUUAGAUUCUGUUUUUUACUGUGAAGUACUUUGUGAUUUUUAUCUUGAAAGGUGCUAUACAAAUAAAGUUUAUCAUUAUUAUGAUUCAUUCAUGUGAUAGUUUAACAGUAUUCGUAGUCCGGUUCGGAUCAGUCAGAUUCUUUUCAAGUAACAAAAUCAAGUGCACAUAAUUGAUUAUCUUCAGAAAAAAGUGAUGAUUUCAGUAAACAGUAGAAGUUACUAACCUGAAGCUAACCUAACUAUAAUGCGAAUUUUGAAUAACAAGUUUACUAAAAUAAAAAGAAAACAAAACAAUGAAAACAUUGAAAAAAUGAAUACUAAAAGAGAAGCUUUAAAGACGAGUAGUUAAGUAACUAAGUAAGUGCGUCAAGCACAACGAAAAGCUAAUUUUAGCUAGCUGUGCAAAAUAGUGUCCUCGCGUGUACUUACCGUAUAUCUCUUGUCUAUACUUGCUGCCAAACACUCCAUAGUUGUUCAGUUCCUGCUGUCUGACAUGUAUCUUAUAUUGAGAAGAAAAGACUUCGGGGAAAGGACAAGUUCGUUUAGGCAUAUCGGCCGCUAACCGUGCAUAGCAUGUGCUGCUACGCAGAUACUUUCACACUUGUUUGUUGCGGGAAAAUUAGAGGGUGCCAGGAAAGCGGCCAAUCAUAGACGCGCAAAUGUGUCACGUGGUAAGUAUAACCAAUCAGACAACUACAGGAGAAAUUACUGCCGUGACGCAGCCUAGUUCUGUUGGCAACGUGUGUUUUUGUUUCUUGUAAUAAAAUAUUGAAUACAAAAUAGUUAGAAGAAUGGAAUAAGUCUAUAUUUAAAGCAAAAUAGUUUUUUUUAUUUCCCAAAACAAGGAGUCAACACAAUUUCAUGAUAACAGACAUUUAUUAUCUGCUUUAACAGGUUGAAUCCUUCCUUUUGCCAAGAUGUGUCCUGAUUCAGAACAUUUGGAUCAUGCACUCCCUUGAUUUCCCAACACCGACCCAUUUGACUAAGGAAAAAAAACAGAGGAAAAGGUUAGAUGCAAACAUGGCUUCCUCCUACUUCUUUUCAAGCAAUUAUUAACCCCAUUUUGAUUUAAUAUAAAAUGGUUUAAAUGUGUCAUAUAUAAGUGCAAUAUGUAAGUUAUCCUAUGUUUGCCAUAUGUAUACAUAGAUAUAGAUUUCGGUUGUUUGUCUUCUUUAGUUUUAAUUUUCCAUAUCCAAGCUCUAGAAGUCAGUGGUAAAUUCCUCUAAAUAAAAGGGAACAGUCUGUGUCAUACAUACUGGGAACUCCAAUAUGGUUUUCAAUGAAGCGAAUGUAGUUUUGGGCUUUGGCUGGGAGGUCAUUCCACUUCCUGGCUGCAGAUGUGUCUGUCUUCCAACCAGGGAAAGUCUCAUACUCAACCUCCACUUUGUGCAAAACAUCCAUGUUGGCUGUUUUUACAAUAAAUAAAAGAAAAAAUGAAAAAUGUGUUAUUUCAGAUAAUAUAUUCACUCAUUAUAUUAAAAAGAAAUGUA